rnacentral:rRNA from 1 species
UAGGCGGGACGGGGUGGAGUAAUGUCUGGGAAACGUCUCGAUGGAGGGGGAUAACUACUGGAAACGGUAGCUAAUACCGCAUAACGUCGCAAGACCAAAGAGGGGGACCUUCGGGCCUCUUGCCAUCGGAUGUGCCCAGAUGGGAUUAGCUAGUAGGUGGGGUAACGGCUCACCUAGGCGACGAUCCCUAGCUGGUCUGAGAGGAUGACCAGCCACACUGGAACUGAGACACGGUCCAG